GGAACGUGACCUACAGACUUCAUAUGACUAAUGGACUUAAGCCCUCAGAAUGUGAAUUUUCUUACGACCAAAGAUAUUUAAUGGGGACUGAUGUUGGAUUCUUCUUUUCAUAUCUUGGAAUACUUCUUAUAGCAACCCUCAACCAUGUAACACUUUCCAGGAAGCACCUCCUUCAUGUGACAUACCGACUGUUCUAUCUAAGUCUGAGUCUCCAGCUGGCUUCUCUAUUUCUACACUGCACAGCCCUUGGUCAGUUUGCAAUCAAUGGAGUAGGUGUACCAUGGAUGAGCA